rnacentral:rRNA from 1 species
AUUGAACGCUGGCGGCAUGCCUAACACAUGCAAGUCGAACGGAGAUAGGGGCAACCUUAUUUCAGUGGCGGACGGGUGAGGAAUGCGUCGGAAUCUACCCUAUGGUGGGGGAUAACACAGGGAAACUUGUGCUAAAACCGCAUAAUGUCGAGAGACCAAAGCAGGGGACCGCAAGGCCUUGCGCGAUAGGAUGAGCCGACGCCCGAUUAGCUUGUUGGUAGGGUAAUGGCCUACCAAGGCGACGAUCGGUAGCUGGUCUGAGAGGAUGAUCAGCCACACUGGGACUGAGACACGGCCCAGACUCCUACGGGAGGCAGCAGUGGGGAAUAUUGGACAAUGGGCGCAAGCCUGAUCCAGCAAUGCCGCGUGUGUGAAGAAGGCCUGCGGGUUGUAAAGCACUUUUGUUCGGGAAGAAAUCAUAUCGGUUAAUACCCGAUGUGGAUGACGGUACCGGAAGAAUAAGCACCGGCUAACUUCGUGCCAGCAGCCGCGGUAAUACGAAGGGUGCAAGCGUUAAUCGGAAUUACUGGGCGUAAAGCGUGCGUAGGCGGCUUUUUAAGUCGGAUGUGAAAUCCCCGGGCUCAACCUGGGAAUGGCAUUCGAUACUG